GAUGAAGAACGUAGCGAAAUGCGAUACUUGGUGUGAAUUGCAGAAUCCCGUGAACCAUCGAGUCUUUGAACGCAAGUUGCGCCCGAAGCCAUUAGGCCGAGGGCACGCCUGCCUGGGCGUCACACGUCGUUGCCCCCCUAUCUACUCCUUCGGGAUUGCGGGGGGCGGAUGAUGGCCUCCCGUGCGCCUCGCCGCGCGGUUGGCAUAAAUGCCAAGUCCUCGGCGACGCACGCCACGACAAUCGGUGGUUGCGAAACCUCGGUUGCCCGUCGUGUGCGGUCGUCGCGCAUCGAGGGCUCGAAAAAAUUGCCGGGUUCCGGCUCGGCUUUCAACGCGACCCCAGGUCAGGCGGGGUUACCCGCUGAAUUUAAGCAUAUCAAUAAGCGGAGGA
rnacentral:misc_RNA from 1 species